CACGGGGGGAGCAAGCGUUGUUCGGAAUCACUGGGCGUAAAGGGCGUCUAGGCGGUCAGAUAAGUGGGAUGUGAAAUGCCCCGGCUCACCCGGGGACCGGCAUCCCAAACUGUCUGGCUUGAGUAUGGGAGAGGAUGUGGGAAUUCCUGGUGUAGCGGUGAAAUGCGUAGAUAUCAGGAGGAACACCGGUGGCGAAGGCGGGUCUCUGGGCAAUUCCUGACGCUGAGGCGCGAAAGCGUGGGGAGCGAACAGG
rnacentral:rRNA from 1 species